rnacentral:rRNA from 1 species
AUUGAACGCUGGCGGCAUGCCUAACACAUGCAAGUCGAACGGCAGCACGGUUGCUUGUUGCUGUUGGCGAGUGGCGAACGGGUGAGUAAUACGUCGGAACCUGUCCCGUAGUUUGGGAUAGCCCUGCGAAAGCCGGAUUAAUACCGCAAACGAACUCCGGCUGACAGUGGGGGCCGUGGAGCCUUCGGGCUUUAGGGUUUGACGACGCGGGAUUCGCUAGUUGGAGGGGUAAAGGCCUACCACGGCGACGAUCAGGAUCUGGUCCGAGAGGGCGAUCAGCCACACUGGAAGUGAGACACGGACCAGACUCCUACGGGAGGCAGCAGUGGGGAAUGUUGGACAAUGGGCGAAAGCCUGAUCCAGCAAUGCCGCGUGUGUGAAGAAGGCCUUCGGGUUGUAAAGCACUUUUGUCGGGAAAGAAAAGCUUGGGCCUAAUACGGUGCGGGGGUGACGGUACCGGAAGAAUAAGCACCGGCUAACUACGUG